rnacentral:rRNA from 1 species
GAUGAACGCUAGCGGCAGGCCUAAUACAUGCAAGUCGGACGGGAUUUCGGAGCUUGCUCCGAAUGAGAGUGGCGCACGGGUGCGUAACACGUAUGUAACCUACCCUUGUCAGGGGGAUAGCCUCUCGAAAGAGAGAUUAAGACCGCAUAACAUUGGAAUAUGGCAUCAUAAACCAAUCAAAUAUUUAUAGGACAAGGAUGGGCAUGCGGAACAUAGCUAGUUGGUAAGGUAACGGCUUACCAAGGCUACGAUGUUUAGGGGAUCUGAGAGGAUCGACCCCCCA